CCCCCCCACACACACUGAAUAAAGCUUCUUGCCGACAGGAGAGCCUGCAAACCCGCUGGGGCAGAGCAGAGGGUUCUAGGGGGCAAAACAGCAGCCAGGCGCGUUGGGAAAGGACAGGUGCUGCUGGAUCACUAGAGGGGGGGAAGCACUGAUCCCAGCUGAGCAGCCCCGGGUGAUGAGCAGCCCAGUGUAAAUGUUAGGGAGGGGGGGGUGCACUAGCGCCAGGCAGGAUGGGCACAAGGGCGCAGGAGGAGCCAGUGACACAAACCAGGUUCUGUCUGAUCAGCCAGACCCCAGAGAAAAAUGCAGCCUGCCGUUCCCAUAACAGUGGUCCCCUGCUCAAACAAAGGAGGUGUGUCUCGAACUCAGACAUUCGAGCUGGGUCUGUAACCAGAGGAUGGCCUCUGUAUCAAGGGAGGCUAGGGAGGUGCAACUUUUUCAGUCACAUAUGUGGGGUGUUGGGAGGACUCUCAUGUAGAAACUCCUUGGUGGCUGACACUUAUGCCUGGGAGAGGCAGCAAUCUGAUUUACUUUGUUAAAUAGGAAGAAGAUGGAAGAUGUGGGAGCCCCACUGGCAAGAGGUGGGUGAAGCAGUUGGAGCACUCUGGUGCAGUAAAGGAAGGAUGGAGAAUUGAAGAGGCUGAGACUUGCCCCUGGGAAUAUUGUAUCCAUGCUAAAGGACUUAUUUGAAGACCCCAAAACUGGAUCAGAAGCUUUCUCAGCCCUCACAUGAAGGUGUAAUUGUGUUGACUCUCACACAAAGAGAACAUUUCUUCCAUCUUUGUGAGGCAUCACAGACAUGAGUCCAACAUUCAUUAGCAGCCUUACAAUAACAAAGCAAGAUGUGCAGAAUGGAGGGGAAUAAAAAUUUGGGUAAAGAAGCAUAUUUAAUUUUUUAAAAAUUGUUUUCAGUGAAUGCAAUACUUGUGAUAGUUACUGAUUUGACAUCUGUGGAGACUGAAGUCUUCUCUUUAUACACAGCCAAUUGUGAUGGUGUUUUCUGUAAUGUGGACAUGUGUCCACUAGAAACUGGUGUGAGACCCACUAAAUUCACUUGAAAUUCCGAGUGAGUACAAAAGUGGUCUUUAAGACAAAGAUGAAAAAUAACUUGAUGGUUUAAUACAGGUACUUCAGUUAAUGUGGUCUGUCAACAAUGCUCUGUGAUUUCUAGUUUUUUUAAUGUAUGACUCCCCUGUUCAUUUGGGUCUCACUUCUGCAAAUCUUUAUGCAUUUGAGUAGGUCUGUUGAACUCAUUGGACUAUUCAAUUGCAUAGAGUUACUCAUGUGUAUAAGUCUCUGCAGGAAUGAGAUCUUGGUUUCAAAAGUCUGCCAACAGCUUUCCUUCGUGAAAAAAUAAUAUUUUCUCAUUGUUUAUGGUAUGUGGACAGUGCAGUACUUUAUAAACAGUUUAACAGCCCAGUCCACUGUGUAGUAGUUUAUUUUAAUACUCGCCUCUUUUAAUAUUAAUAAGAAAGAGAAACUCUCAGGUUGUAAAGUGCACUUUCUGUAACCUUCAAUUUGAUUACAAGUAUCUUCCAUUCUAAAAGAGUAAAAAGAAGAAAAAUCCUUUUUAAAGCACUCCAUUGUUCUGAACAAGGAGAUUUAGUUUACCUUCAGCAACCAGGUACAGUAGGAAAUCAUAUUUCUGUAGGGCAUUUAUAAAAUCAAGGGUUAUAUUUUUAAAGGCAUUUACUUGCAAACACUAUGUCUUUAAAUGACUUUGCCCAAGGAGAAAUGUAAAUCAAGGGUAUCACCUAAAUAGGCAAAUGCUGUUAUAUUUUAUCACAAGCUUCAAGAACUCCUUAAGGCAUCAAGUUUAAAAAAAGAGAGUGAGAUUAUGUGGGGGAUAUUUAUUAUUAUAAACUGCAAAGUCAACAGGGACUGCUGCUAAAUGCUCUUACAAUCAUAAUAGCCUAUCUUGUGUUAAUUCUAGCCUGAAGCUCCACGACUCUUUAUGUGCAGAGAUAAUGGGGGUAAAACUACAUAUUUUUGGUUGAGCUGCAGAUUCUUCCCAACCAUGUCAAACAAAUUAAGCAGCCUUGCAAACUAAAAAUGGUUUGGGCAUUGAAGGAAUUCCCAGCAAUAAUAUGUAAGAGUUAUUACCCCUGGUAGAUAGCUGAUGCUGUAUUUUAUGGUUGAUAGUAGUUGUUUUGAUUGAAUAUUGCCUCUGUAAAUUGCUUGCAAAUAAUCUGCUUUCAACCUCAAACUUUACAGUCCAAAGAGAACUUUGUUUCAUAUAAUUCUUAUUGUUUAUACUCUCUCUCCCUCUUUCUGUGUGUAUCUGUGUGUGUGAAACGUAUAUUGAAUAUACAGUUAGGCCUGGCAGAAUUUAAUUUUUAUUUUUUUAAUGGAUAGUAUUGUUU